AUUGAACGCUAGCGGGGUGCCUUACACAUGCAAGUCGAACGGCGUGGCGAAAGGGGGAGGAAUGUAUCGGAACGUGCACAGUAGCGGGGGAUAACUACGCGAAAGCAUAGAUAAUAACGCAUACUAUUGGAGCGGCAGCUAGCGGAUUAGCUAGAUGGUGGGGCAACGGCUUAGCAGGGCGACGAUCCGUAGCGUGCUUGAGAGGACGACCAGCCCCACUGGGACUGAGACAGGGCCCAGACUCCUACGGGAGGCAGCAGUGGGGAAUCUUGGACAAUGGGGGAAACCCUGAUCCAGCCAUGCCGCGUGUGUGAUGAAGGCCUUCGGGUUGUAAAGCACUUUUGGCAGGAAAGCGGUACCUGAAGAAGAAGCACCGGCUAACUACGUGCCAGCCGCCGCGGUAAUUC
rnacentral:rRNA from 1 species